GCCGGGCGUGGUGGCGCAUGCCUGUAAUCCCAGCCACUCGGGAGGCUGAGGCAGGAGAAUUGCUUGAGCCCAGGGAGUGAAGGUUGCAGUGAGCAGAGAUCAUGCCACUGCACUCAAGCCUGGGCAACAGGGUGAGACUCUGUCUCAA
rnacentral:SRP_RNA from 1 species